GCCCGGCGCUCGGCAGCCGCCCGCAGCCCCUCGGAGCCAGAGGAGAGGCGCCCCCGCCGGCCGCCGCGCCGCCCGGCAGCCUCGGCAGGUUCUGCCGGAGACUUCCAUUUGGCCUCAAUGUGAAAUUAAAGUAGAAAAUCACAUCUACAUGCAUGUUGCUAUCAGGAUGUUGAUUCAUUAGUCAUGCCUGAAGAGGGAAAGUCUGUUUUAGGUGGCUGACUACCAGCAAAAAUAAAUGCUUAUCCUACAUGUCAAGCAUCUCUACUUUUUACUGGAGUGAAAAUCCCCUCCAGAUACCAACAGAAUAUCAACUGCAGAAAAUGCUUCACAUUUUAAGGAUGUCGGCAACCUAAAUUCAUGUACCCUAUCUGUACAGUUGUUGUGGAUGGUUUGCCAUCUGAAAGCUCCUCAAGUUCUUAUCCAGGCCCUGUGUCUGUUUCUGAAAUGUCUCUGCUUCAUGCUUUGGGUCCAGUGCAGACCUGGCUGGGACAAGAGCUCGAGAAAUGUGGCAUUGAUGCCAUGAUUUACACUCGGUAUGUCCUCAGUCUUCUGCUGCAUGACAGCUAUGACUACGACCUGCAGGAACAGGAGAAUGACAUCUUCCUGGGCUGGGAAAAAGGAGCUUAUAAGAAAUGGGG
rnacentral:lncRNA from 1 species